rnacentral:rRNA from 1 species
UACGGGGGGGGCAAGCGUUGCUCGGAAUUACUGGGCGUAAAGCGCACGUAGGCGGUCUUUUAAGUCGGGGGUGAAAUCCUGGAGCUCAACUCCAGAACUGCCUUCGAUACUGGAAGACUCGAGUCCGGGGGAGGUGAGUGGAACUGCGAGUGUAGAGGUGAAAUUCGUAGAUAUUCGCAAGAACACCAGCGGCGAAGGCGGCUCACUGGCCCGGUACUGACGCUGAGGUGCGAAAGCGUGGGGAGCAAACAGG